rnacentral:rRNA from 1 species
GCAGUCGAGCGCAGGAACUGACGGAACUCUUCGGAGGGAAGGCAGUGGAAUGAGCGGCGGACGGGUGAGUAACACGUAAGGAACCUGCCUCAAGGAUUGGGAUAACUCCGAGAAAUCGGAGCUAAUACCGGAUAGUUCAUCGGACCGCAUGGUCCGUUGAUGAAAGGCGCUCCGGCGUCACCUUGAGAUGGCCUUGCGGUGCAUUAGCUAGUUGGUGGGGUAACGGCCCACCAAGGCGACGAUGCAUAGCCGACCUGAGAGGGUGAUCGGCCACACUGGGACUGAGACACGGCCCAGACUCCUACGGGAGGCAGCAGUAGGGAAUCUUCCACAAUGGACGAAAGUCUGAUGGAGCAACGCCGCGUGAGUGAUGAAGGUUUUCGGAUCGUAAAACUCUGUUGUAAGGGAAGAACACGUACGAGAGGAAAUGCUCGUACCUUGACGGUACCUUACGAGAAAGCCACGGCUAACUACGUGCCAGCAGCCGCGGUAAUACGUAGGUGGCAAGCGUUGUCCGGAAUUAUUGGGCGUAAAGCGCGCGCAGGCGGCCUUUUAAGUCUGAUGUGAAAGCCCCCGGCUCAACCGGGGAGGGCCAUUGGAAACUGGAAGGCUUGAGUACAGAAGAGAAGAGUGGAAUUCCACGUGUAGCGGUGAAAUGCGUAGAGAUGUGGAGGAACACCAGUGGCGAAGGCGACCCUUUGGUCUGUAACUGACGCUGAGGCGCGAAAGCGUGGGGAGCAAACAGGAUUAGAUACCCUGGUAGUCCACGCCGUAAACGAUGAGUGCUAGGUGUUGGGGGGUUUCCGCCCCUCAGUGCUGAAGCUAACGCAUUAAGCACUCCGCCUG